rnacentral:snRNA from 1 species
GUGCUUGCUUCAGCAGCACAUAUACUAAAACUAGAAUGAUACAGAGAAGAUUAUCAUGGUCCCUGUGCAAGGAUGACAUGCAAAUUCAUGAAACAUUCAUUUUUUGU